UACGUAGGGUGCAAGCGUUAUCCGGAAUUAUUGGGCGUAAAGAGCUCGUAGGCGGUUUGUCGCGUCGUCCGUGAAAACUUGGGGCUCAACCCCAAGCUUGCGGGCGAUACGGGCAGACUUGAGUACUGCAGGGGAGACUGGAAUUCCUGGUGUAGCGGUGAAAUGCGCAGAUAUCAGGAGGAACACCGGUGGCGAAGGCGGGUCUCUGGGCAGUAACUGACGCUGAGGAGCGAAAGCGUGGGUAGCAAACAGG
rnacentral:rRNA from 1 species